rnacentral:rRNA from 1 species
GACGAACGCUGGCGGCGUGCUUAACACAUGCAAGUCGAACGGAAAGGCCCUGCUUUUGUGGGGUGCUCGAGUGGCGAACGGGUGAGUAACACGUGAGUAACCUGCCCUUGACUUUGGGAUAACUUCAGGAAACUGGGCUAAUACCGGAUAGGAGCUCCUGCCGCAUGGUGGGGGUUGGAAAGUUUCGGCGGUUGGGGAUGGACUCGCGGCUUAUCAGCUUGUUGGUGGGGUAGUGGCUUACCAAGGCUUUGACGGGUAGCCGGCCUGAGAGGGUGACCGGCCACAUUGGGACUGAGAUACGGCCCAGACUCCUACGGGAGGCAGCAGUGGGGAAUAUUGCACAAUGGGCGGAAGCCUGAUGCAGCAACGCCGCGUGCGGGAUGACGGCCUUCGGGUUGUAAACCGCUUUCGCCUGUGACGAAGCGUGAGUGACGGUAAUGGGUAAAGAAGCACCGGCUAACUACGUG